rnacentral:rRNA from 1 species
UGGGGAAUUUUGGACAAUGGGGGCAACCCUGAUCCAGCCAUGCCGCGUGAGAGAAGAAGGCCUUCGGGUUGUAAAGCUCUUUCGGCCGGGAGGAAAUCGCAUCAGUUAAUACCUGGUGUGGAUGACAGUACCGGAAUAAGAAGCACCGGCUAACUACGUGCCAGCAGCCGCGGUAAUACGUAGGGUGCGAGCGUUAAUCGGAAUUACUGGGCGUAAAGCGUGCGCAGGCGGUUUUUUAAGACAGGCGUGAAAUCCCCGGGCUCAACCUGGGAACUGCGCUUGUGACUGGAAGGCUAGAGUAUGGCAGAGGGGGGUGGAAUUCCACGGGUAGCAGUGAACUGCGUAGAGAUGUGGUGGAACACCGAUGGCGAAGGCAGCCCCCUGGGCCAAUACUGACGCUCAUGCACGAAAGCGUGGGGAGCAAACA